rnacentral:rRNA from 1 species
AACGCUAGCUACAGGCUUAACACAUGCAAGUCGAGGGGCAGCAUGGUCUUAGCUUGCUAAGGCCGAUGGCGACCGGCGCACGGGUGAGUAACACGUAUCCAACCUGCCGUCUACUCUUGGACAGCCUUCUGAAAGGAAGAUUAAUACAAGAUGGCAUCAUGAGUCCGCAUGUUCACAUGAUUAAAGGUAUUCCGGUAGACGAUGGGGAUGCGUUCCAUUAGAUAGUAGGCGGGGUAACGGCCCACCUAGUCUUCGAUGGAUAGGGGUUCUGAGAGGAAGGUCCCCCACAUUGGAACUGAGACACGGUCCAAACUCCUACGGGAGGCAGCAGUGAGGAAUAUUGGUCAAUGGGCGAGAGCCUGAACCAGCCAAGUAGCGUGAAGGAUGACUGCCCUAUGGGUUGUAAACUUCUUUUAUAAAGGAAUAAAGUCGGGUAUGGAUACCCGUUUGCAUGUACUUUAUGAAUAAGGAUCGGCUAACUCCGUGCCAGCAGCCGCGGUAAUACGGAGGAUCCGAGCGUUAUCCGGAUUUAUUGGGUUUAAAGGGAGCGUAGAUGGAUGUUUAAGUCAGUUGUGAAAGUUUGCGGCUCAACCGUAAAAUUGCAGUUGAUACUGGAUAUCUUGAGUACAGUUGAGGCAGGCGGAAUUCGUGGUGUAGCGGUGAAAUGCUUAGAUAUCACGAAGAACUCCGAUUG